GCGAGCUGAACCAACAGAUUCACUUCGGUGAUGACGUUGGGAACGCGAGCGGCGGAUGGGUGAGUAACACGUGGGGAACCUGCCCCAUAGUCUGGGAUACCACUUGGAAACAGGUGCUAAUACCGGAUAAGAAAGCAGAUCGCAUGAUCAGCUUAUAAAAGGCGGCGUAAGCUGUCGCUAUGGGAUGGCCCCGCGGUGCAUUAGCUAGUUGGUAGGGUAACGGCCUACCAAGGCAAUGAUGCAUAGCCGAGUUGAGAGACUGAUCGGCCACAUUGGGACUGAGACACGGCCCAAACUCCUACGGGAGGCAGCAGUAGGGAAUCUUCCACAAUGGACGAAAGUCUGAUGGAGCAACGCCGCGUGAGUGAAGAAGGUUUUCGGAUCGUAAAGCUCUGUUGUUGGUGAAGAAGGAUAGAGGUAGUAACUGGCCUUUAUUUGACGGUAAUCAACCAGAAAGUCACGGCUAACUACGUGCCAGCAGCCGCGGUAAUACGUAGGUGGCAAGCGUUGUCCGGAUUUAUUGGGCGUAAAGCGAGCGCAGGCGGAAGAAUAAGUCUGAUGUGAAAGCCCUCGGCUUAACCGAGGAACUGCAUCGGAAACUGUUUUUCUUGAGUGCAGAAGAGGAGAGUGGAACUCCAUGUGUAGCGGUGGAAUGCGUAGAUAUAUGGAAGAACACCAGUGGCGAAGGCGGCUCUCUGGUCUGCAACUGACGCUGAGGCUCGAAAGCAUGGGUAGCGAACAGGAUUAGAUACCCUGGUAGUCCAUGCCGUAAACGAUGAGUGCUAAGUGUUGGGAGGUUUCCGCCUCUCAGUGCUGCAGCUAACGCAUUAAGCACUCCGCCUGGGGAGUACGACCGCAAGGUUGAAACUCAAAGGAAUUGACGGGGCCCGCACAAGCGGUGGAGCAUGUGGUUUAAUUCGAAGCAACGCGAAGAACCUUACCAGUCUUGACAUCUAGUGCAAUCCGUAGA
rnacentral:rRNA from 1 species